GGGAAAGUACUUCCAUUGGUAGGGUAAGAUGUUUGCUAAACUUUGUGUCUAUACACUUGGGUGUUCGAGUCACCUCUUUCCCG
rnacentral:tRNA from 1 species